rnacentral:tRNA from 2 species
GAGAGCGAGCGACUCAUAAUCGCCAGGUCGCUGGUUCAAAUCCAGCAAGGGCCACCA